UGCCAGCAGCCGCGGUAACACGGGGGGCGCAAGCGUUAUUCGGAAUUAUUGGGCGUAAAGCGCGCGUAGGUGGUCAAGUCAGUCAGAUGUGAAAGCCCUGGGCUCAACCUGGGAACUGCAUCUGAUACUGCUUGACUAGAGUAUGGUAGAGGGGUGUGGAAUUUCCUGUGUAGCGGUGAAAUGCGUAGAUAUAGGAAGGAACACCAGUGGCGAAGGCGACACCCUGGACCAAUACUGACACUGAGGUGCGAAAGCGUGGGGAGCAAACAGGAUUAGAUA
rnacentral:rRNA from 1 species